rnacentral:misc_RNA from 1 species
AACGCACCUUGCGCCCUUUGGUAUUCCGAAGGGCAUGCCUGUUUGAGUGUCAUGAACCUCUCCAGCCCUUUGCUUUGUUAACUCGAGUAAAGGUGCUUUGGGAAGCUGGACGCCUGCGAAUUCUUCGCUCGUCCGAAAUGCAUUAGCACAGAGACCCACGGACUUGGAUCCGUCUUUGAACCGAGCAUGAUAAUUAUCUUUGCUCUCCUCUGGACGGUAUCGCAUCCGCGGGAUCCUCAAGCUUCUAACCGGGGCAACCCAAUUUUUUCAUCUCUGGCCUCAAAUCAGGUAGGGCUACCCGCUGAACUUAA